AUGCCACGAUUCUCUCGUUCGUCUGUUGCUCGGAGCCCCAUCGGGCCAACGAGUGCUAGCUCUACAUGCACGCACUAUAGUCGCCAACAAGAUGAGAACGCCCGGCCUCCGGCACAUGCUCGCGGCCUUUCGCCGUGCCUCGGCUGCGCAUGCACGCUCGAGGUUCGCAAGACGCCCGAGCUUUGCCGGAGGUGGGAGGCUCACGCUGAAGCUCCUCCCUGCCUUUUUCAUUCCGGCAGUAAUUAUAGAACGGCGCUCUACAGGUGUUGCGGUCACACCAGAGUCGACAACUCCGGUAGUUUGCAGCCGUGGCAGUACCGACGUUUCGAGGCUGCCAGCACGGUGCUUUUGUUACGUUUGCAAGAGGUGUGGCGAACUGUUGGCACGGUGGGGCUCGCACAUUAUGCUGCUCUGGUGGUACUGACUGUGUUCAUGCGAGGAGUGCAUGCAUCGGGGAAGCACACUAUAAUUUCGUGUUUCUCGCGUGGACUCAGCUGUUCGCAGGGGUCGGGGUGGAGAGAGCGAGCAGCCUGUGCCUAGGAAUCCUAGUCCAAGAAUGACGACGGUGAUAUUUUUGUUCCGGCCUUAGUCCUUAACCCUCUUGCAACUUUUAUAUUUCGAACGCCGUGUAAAGGCUAGUAAAUAAAUGGAAUGUUUUCCACGAGUUUGUCGGUGUACAGCAAGUUUCUUUUGCACUCCGUUAAGUUACCCCGACGGCGCCGAGCUUCGUCGUUAAAUAUUCCUCGCAUCCUCGUGUUCCUCCCGUCUACACGCGUCGCUGGGCACGACAAUGCACAGAUGGGGAUUCCGCAGGCACAUUAGUCCUAGCGGAGCCGAGGCUCUAACCAAACGGCCAGUGACCGGCCGUCCAACCACAGAGACAGAAAUACUUAGGCCUAGGUGUGUGAUCAGAAUUGUUCGGACGCGACUACAACUGGUAUAUUUUCUCCUCACGUCGUAGAAAGUAGCUGGAACUUUGGAUGGCGCUACUUUUGGAAUCUCAUCUGUUCCGGGCAUCUUUUUUUGUACUUUUUUUUCACUUCGGUGGCAGGGACCGGUGGUGUUCGUAUCCACCUCAGCCUGGUCCGAAAUGUGUCUGAAGAAAUUUGUUUGGCGAUCUGUGGCAACAUUGUAGCGCCCCGCUGUACGAUUCGAAAGCCGUUGCAAUGUCGUAGACAAUACUUGCACGAAUUGGAACAUUUGGUUUUGCCUGGACAGGUCGGUCUGUCACCACAAGUCCAGAGUGCAUUCUUAAAGCUCGACUUGUCCUACGACCAUUGCUGUGAUUGUAAGCGUCCUUUUAUUUUUGUGCUGUGAACUUUUUUUUUUUUUUGCUAGUAUGACAAUAUAUAUAAAUAUAUACAUACACAUAUAUAUACAUGUACAAAUCUGUUAUAUAUAUAUACGUUAUAUAUAUGCAGCAAACAUGAAAGAAUGAAUAAAAGCUUGCACUUCAA